rnacentral:misc_RNA from 1 species
UCGAGUUACCGCUCCUUAUAACCCUUUGUGAACAUACCCAAACGUUGCCUCGGCGGGCAGCCGGAGCCCAGCUCCGGCGCCCGGAGCCGCCGUCUCGGUGCGCCCCACCCGCCGGAGGACCACUAAACUCUAUUUAAACGACGUCUCUUCUGAGUGGACACAAAGCAAAUAAUCA